GACGAACCGUGCGAACGUUAUUCGGAAUCACUGGGCUUAAAGCGCGUGUAGGCGGGGCGGCACGUCGGUCGCUGAAAGCCCCCGGCUCAACCGGGGAAGUGGCGCCGAUACGACCGCCCUGGAGGGACGUAGGGGGACCUCGGAACGUCCGGAUCGGAGCGGUGAAAUGCGUUGAGAUCGGAAGGAACGCCCGUGGCGAAAGCGAGGUCCUGGACGUUUACUGACGCUGAGACGCGAAAGCCAGGGGAGCGAACGGG
rnacentral:rRNA from 1 species